AUAUUUUACAAUUGGCGCAAGCCUGAUCCAGCCAUACCGCGUUGGUGAAGAAGGCCUUCCGGUUGUUAAGCCCUUUUGUUUGGAAAGAAAUCCUGCUUGCUAAUACCUGGCUGGCAUGACGGUCACCCAAGAAUAAGCACCGGCUACCUCUGUGCCAGCAGCCGCGGUAAUACGACGGGUGCAAGCGUUACUCGGAAUUACUGGGCGUAAAGCGUGCGUAGGUGGUCGUGUAAGUCCGUUGUGAAAGCACUGGGCUCAACCUGGGAACCGCAGUGGAUACUGGGCGACUAGAAUGUGGUAGAGGGUAGCGGAAUUCCUGGUGUAGCAGUGAAAUGCGUAGAGAUCAGGAGGAACAUCCAUGGCGAAGGCAGCUACCUGGACCAAAAUUGACACUGAGGCACGAAAGCGUGGGGAGCAAAC
rnacentral:rRNA from 1 species